rnacentral:rRNA from 1 species
AGUCAAGUAAUUAAGUGCAUGUGGUGGAUGCCUUGGCAGUCAGAGGCGAUGAAAGACGUGAUAGCCUGCGAAAAGCUCCGGGGAGGCGGCAAAUAUCCUUUGAUCCGGAGAUGUCUGAAUGGGGGAACCCACCUACUUUAAGGUAGGUAUUGCAACAUGAAUACAUAGUGUUGCAAGGCGAACGAGGGGAAGUGAAACAUCUCAGUACCCUUAGGAAAAGAAAUCAAUUGAGAUUCCCUCAGUAGCGGCGAGCGAACGGGGAUCAGCCCAUUAAGUUAUGUGUGUUUUAGUGGAACGCUCUGGGAAGUGCGAACGUAGAGGGUGAUAUUCCCGUACACGAAAGGGCACACAUAAUGAUGACGAGUAGGGCGAGGCACGUGAAACCUUGUCUGAAUAUGGGGGGACCAUCCUCCAAGGCUAAAUACUCCUGACUGACCGAUAGUGAACCAGUACCGUGAGGGAAAGGCGAAAAGAACCCCUGUGAGGGGAGUGAAAUAGAUCCUGAAACCGCAUGCAUACAAGCAGUGGGAGCACCUUCGUGGUGUGACUGCGUACCUUUUGUAUAAUGGGUCAGCGACUUAUAUUCAGUAGCGAGGUUAACCGUAUAGGGGAGCCGUAGAGAAAUCGAGUCUUAAUAGGGCGUUUAGUUGCUGGGUAUAGACCCGAAACCAGGCGAUCUAUCCAUGAGCAGGUUGAAGGUUGGGUAACACUAACUGGAGGACCGAACCCACUGUCGUUGAAAAGCCAGGGGAUGACUUGUGGAUAGGGGUGAAAGGCUAAUCAAGCCUGGUGAUAGCUGGUUCUCCCCGAAAGCUAUUUAGGUAGCGCCUCGGACGAAUACCAUAGGGGGUAGAGCACUGUUUCGGCUAGGGGGUCAUCCCGACUUACCAAACCGAUGCAAACUCCGAAUACCUAUGAGUACUAUCCGGGAGACAGACUGCGGGUGCUAACGUCCGUAGUCAAGAGGAAAACAAUCCAGACCGCCAGCUAAGGCCCCAAAAUCAUAGUUAAGUGGGAAACGAUGUGGGAAGGCAUAGACAGCUAGGAGGUUGGCUUAGAAGCAGCCACCCUUUAAAGAAAGCGUAAUAGCUCACUAGUCGAGUCGGCCUGCGCGGAAGAUGUAACGGGGCUAAAACUAUGUGCCGAAGCUGCGGAUGUAUACUUUGUAUACGUGGUAGGGGAGCGUUCUGUAAGCCGAUGAAGGUGUGUUGAGAAGCAUGCUGGAGGUAUCAGAAGUGCGAAUGCUGACGUGAGUAACGACAAAACGGGUGAAAAACCCGUUCGCCGAAAGACCAAGGGUUCCAGUCCAACGUUAAUCGGGGCUGGGUGAGUCGACCCCUAAGGCGAGGCCGAAAGGCGUAGUCGAUGGGAAAAUGGUUAAUAUUCCAUUACUUCUGUGUAAUGCGAUGAGAGGACGGAGAAGGCUAAAUCAGCCUGGCGUUGGUUGUCCAGGUGAAAGGAUGUAGGCAUGUAUCUUAGGCAAAUCCGGGGUACUCUAUGCUGAGAUCUGAUAGCAAGCUGUACUUGUACAGCGAAGUGGUUGAUGCCAUGCUUCCAGGAAAAGUCUCUAAGCUUCAGUUACACAGGAAUCGUACCCGAAACCGACACAGGUGGUCAGGUCGAGUAGACCAAGGCGCUUGAGAGAACUCUGCUGAAGGAACUAGGCAAAAUGGUACCGUAACUUCGGGAGAAGGUACGCUGUUGUUGGUGAUGGAACUCGCUUCCUGAGCUGACGACAGCCGCAGAAACCAGGCCGCUGCAACUGUUUAUUAAAAACAUAGCACUCUGCAAACACGAAAGUGGACGUAUAGGGUGUGAUGCCUGCCCGGUGCUGGAAGGUUAAUUGAUGGGGUUAGCGUAAGCGAAGCUCUUGAUCGAAGCCCCAGUAAACGGCGGCCGUAACUAUAACGGUCCUAAGGUAGCGAAAUUCCUUGUCGGGUAAGUUCCGACCUGCACGAAUGGCAUAAUGAUGGCGGCGCUGUCUCCAGCAGAGGCUCAGUGAAAUCGAAAUCGCUGUGAAGAUGCAGUGUACCCGCGGCUAGACGGAAAGACCCCGUGAACCUUUACUGCAGCUUGACACUGAACUUUGACCUUACUUGUGUAGGAUAGGUGGGAGGCUUUGAAGCUGGAACGCUAGUUCCAGUGGAGCCGUCCUUGAAAUACCACCCUGGUAAUGUUGAGGUUCUAACUCUGUCCCGUGAUCCGGGACGAGGACCGUGUCUGGUGGGUAGUUUGACUGGGGCGGUCUCCUCCUAAAGAGUAACGGAGGAGUACGAAGGUGCGCUCAGCGUGGUCGGAAAUCACGCGUAGAGUAUAAAGGCAAAAGCGCGCUUAACUGCGAGACCCACAAGUCGAGCAGGUACGAAAGUAGGUCUUAGUGAUCC